rnacentral:rRNA from 1 species
UACGUAGGGAGCAAGCAUUGUCCGGAUUUACUGGGUGUAAAGGGUGCGUAGGCGGCUUUGCAAGUCAGAAGUGAAAUCUAUGGGCUUAACCCAUAAACUGCUUUUGAAACUGCAGGGCUUGAGUGAAGUAGAGGUAGGCGGAAUUCCCGGUGUAGCGGUGAAAUGCGUAGAGAUCGGGAGGAACACUAGUGGCGAAGGCGGCCUACUGGGCUUUAACUGACGCUGAGGCACGAAAGCGUGGGUAGCAAACAGG